UACAGAGGUCUCAAGCGUUGUUCGGAUUCAUUGGGCGUAAAGGGCUCGUAGGCGGUUUGUCGCGUCGGGAGUGAAAACCUACAGCUUAACUGUGGGCUUGCUUUCGAUACGGGCAGACUUGAGGCAUGCAGGGGAGAACGGAAUUCCUGGUGUAGCGGUGGAAAUGACGCAGAUAUCAGGAGGAACACCGGUGGCGAAGGCGGUUCUCUGGGCAUGUUCUGACGCUGAGGAGCGAAAGUGUGGGGAGCGAACAGG
rnacentral:rRNA from 1 species